UACGGAGGAUCCGAGCGUUAUCCGGAUUUAUUGGGUUUAAAGGGUGCGCAGGCGGAAUAUUAAGUCGGCGGUGAAAGUUUGCAGCUUAACUGUAAAAUUGCCGUUGAUACUGGUAUUCUUGAGUGUAUAUGAAGUAGGCGGAAUUUGUGGUGUAGCGGUGAAAUGCAUAGAUAUCACGAGGAACUCCGAUUGCGCAGGCAGCUUACUAAACUACUACUGACGCUCAGGCACGAAGGCGUGGGGAUCAAACAGGAUUAGAUACCCGCGUA
rnacentral:rRNA from 1 species